rnacentral:rRNA from 1 species
UACGAAGGGGGCUAGCGUUGCUCGGAAUUACUGGGCGUAAAGCGUGCGUAGUCGGUUCUUUAAGCCGGGCGUGAAAGCCCCGGGCUCAACCUGGGAAUUGCGUUCGAUACUGGAUAGCUAGAGUUCGGCAGAGGGAAGCGGAAUUCCUGGUGUAGCGGUGAAAUGCGCAGAUAUCAGGAGGAACACCGGUGGCGAAGGCGGUUCUCUGGGCAUUACCUGACGCUGAGGAGCGAAAGUGUGGGGAGCGAACAGG